AUGUAUACCAAUUUCAACAAGUGCGCGGCCUCCCCAAUCCAAUGUACGUUUGAAGACCGCCUGACAAUCUCCUCCAACUUUGCGUGCCCACUCAAAGACUUCCCAACGACACACCUCGGCCUGCCGCUCUCCAUCCGCAAGGUCAGCGUCACUGCGCUACAACCUAUCCUUGUCAAGCUCGAGCGUAGACUCUCCCCUUGGUGAGCCUCCAUGAUGUCGCGCGGUGACCGCCUAGCGCUCUGCCGCCACGUGCUCACGGCGAUGCCUGUGCACACGCUCCUCGCGAUGGCCAUCAACCCCCCUGUCCCCAAGCAGAUCAAUCGCCUCCUCCGCAGUUUUCUCUGGUACGGGCGAAAGGACGCGAGCAGCGGCCACUGCCUUGUCAACUGGUGCCGUGUCUGCCGCCCCAUCGCCCUGGGCGGCCUCGGCAUCCCUGACCUCCAACUCGUGGGCAUCUCCCCGCGCACCCACUGA
rnacentral:rRNA from 1 species